GGGUAGGGGAGGAGAGCGCGAGUGGUCUUCCUUUUAUUUUUAUUAUUAUUUUCAUUUCAAGUGUUAACCCUUUUCCGGGUUUCCCCUCUGGAAGCCCCUAUCCCAUCCUCCCUCCCCCUGCUUCUGUGAGGUGUUCCUCCAACCACCUACCCACUCCCUCCUCCCUGCCCUAUCAAUGUGGAAUUCUUAUUCUUGAUCCUGGAGCUUCUUGUUCCUUUGUCUGCCUCCCUCUGGUGUUUGAUAGAGGACAUUGCAGUCCUUUCCGAUUCUUUUUAUGCUGGGCCAGAAGCUGAAUGUCUUUACUUCUGAGCUUUAGCGUGUCUUUUGUCUGGGCUGCUGCCUGCAGCAUGUGUACCACUGAUCUCAGGCAGCCUACAACACAAGCAGUCGGGAGAAGGGGUCUGGCUGCACAGUGUCCUAUACAAACUCGGGGAUAAGGAAACCGGGCAAGAGAAGCCUGAAGUCUGACUAGAUGCCCAGAUCAGACCCCUGUGCCUGUGAGAAGGAUUUGGAAAUUUAGCUGCAUAUUUUGCAGCUGUUGAUCCUCAGCUGUGAAGGCUGCAUCUCAGGCAGCAGGCCCCAGGGUCCCUGGUCCUUCUCUCAGCCUCAGACAACCCCAGACUGUGUUGUGGCACUGGCUCUAUCUAGUCUUUCAUUGGCCAGUUAAAAUGGGAGAAAUGGUAUCACUUGAGUACUAGAUGGUCUGCUCUUGGGGUGGGGGUGAGGGAACCACCUCUUAAGGAAUCAAUACUAGUGUUAGAAUACAAGCAGCAUCAGGCCAACUCACUACAGCCAACACUUAAUAUACAGGACUGCAUCAAACUGAAAAGCUUCAAUAAGUCUAAGGACACCUUUAAUAGGACACAAUUACAGCCUACAGAUUGGGAAACUAUCUUUAUUAAUGUUACAUCUGAUAGAGGGCUAAUAUCCAAAACUGUAAAGAACUUAGGAAGUUAGGUACCAACUAAUCCAAUGACCCAAUUUAAAAAAUGGAUACAGAGCUAAACAGAGAAAUCUCAAGUGGUGAGCAAUCUCAAAUGGGUGAAAAGCACUUAAAGAAAUGUUCAGUGUCCUUAGUCUUCAGGGAAAUGCAAUCAAAACAACUCAUAUUUCCCCUUACACCCUUCAGAAGGGCUAACAUCAAAAACUCAGUGUGUCAGGGUCUGAAUAUCACUGAAGGAAGACCCCAAACUCAGAUGGUAUGCAAAGACAGAGUGUUUCCUGCAGAAACAACCAGCCAGCAGGAGUCAACCAUCUUCUAAAUGGCAACCCUAGACAAAGGCACGCAGGCCUUCUUAAAGGGGUUUGGGGAAUUUUGUAGAAGGAUUAGGUAAUCUAACAUUUCAUUGGUGGGUGCUACAGGAGUCACAGGGAAUGGCUUCUGAUUGGCUUGUGCCAGGUGAAUACAGUGGUCUGCAUUCAAAUGUCAUAAACAUUUAGAGCACAGAAUAAGAUAGGGCUGCCCAGUCGAGAGAUGGCCCAUGCUUGAGAUAAGAUAUUUUCCCAUUCUGGUGGUUAUGCCCAGGCUGUCCUUUGGGAGAAGGUUUUCUGAAUUUUUUCUUGUAUUUUAUCACCUGUUCCUGGAGCUGGUGGUGCCUUGUCUCCUUUUCAAAACAGGGCUGGUUCUUAAAUCAAGACAGAUAGGGUUAGUGUCGGCCUUUCAAAGUGACAGCACAGGCUGUGGAGUUUGUAGGGCAAGGGAAACACACCUCCCCUGCUGGUGAGAGUACAAACUUGUACAACCUCUGUGGAAAUAAAAUUGCCACUUUCUCAAAAUAUUGAGAAUAAUUCUCUCCUGGGCAUAUACCCAAAAGUUGCUCCACCAUUCCAUAAGGACACGUGCUAUGAUCAUAGCAGCUUUAUUCAGAAAUAAAGCUGAAACUGAAAACAACCUAGAUAACCUUCAACUGAAGAAUACAUGAAGAAAAUGUGGUUCAUUUACACAAUUGAAGGCUACUCAGCCAUUAAAAACAAGGAAAUCAGGGGUUUCACAGGCAACUGUAUGGAACUAGAAGAUAUCAUCCUGAGUGAGGUAACCCAGACUCAAUAGCAAAGGCAUGGUAUGUACUUACAGAUAAGUGUAGAUAACCACAUUAUAAUCAACAGUCCCAAAGAAGCCAGGUAACAAGGUGAGCCCAAGGAAGGAUGGUUGAAUCAUCCUCAGGAAAAGAAACAAGACAGAUAUAGGAGGCCGAGGAACUGAGGGAACUGGUCGGGAGAGGAGAUGGGGACAGGAAUGUAGGAGAUCAGGGGUAGAUCAGAUGUAGGGAGACUAGGGGAGAGAGAAGACAAAUCUGCUGUCUCUGUGUGUGUGUGUGUGUGUGUGUGUGUGUGUGUGUGUGUGUGUGUGUCUGUCUGUCUGUCUGUCUGUCUGUCUGUCUGUCUCUGUGUAUAUAUGUGCGUCUGUGUGUGGAGGGAAGGUUCAACCUUUGGGAUAUAUCAACGACCUGGGAUGGGUGGAGACCCCAGGGAGUCUAUGGGGGCAACUAGCUGAGACUCGUAGAAGUGGGGAAUAUGUACUCAGAAGUGGCCACUUCCACUAGAAGCAGUAGAGGGAAAAGGACAAUAUCCCACCCACAAAACCUUGGACACCAAAUUCAUCCAAUGACAACAAGUGUAGGGACAAAUAUGGAGCAGAGACUUAGGGAAAUGCCAAAGAAUGACUGGCCCAACUUGAAAUCUAUCCUAUGAACAAGAACCAAUCCCUGAGUAGUAAUGAUUCUCUGUUACAUUUGCAGAUAGGAACCUAGCAUAACUCUCCCCUGGAGUUUAAUCCCAAUGGCUCACUGGAACAGAUAUAGGGGACCCAUAGCCAAACAGUAGAUGGAGUUUGGGAAGUGUUGUGGAAAAAGUAGAAGGGCUGAGGGACCCUUACAGGACAAGGACUCCACCGGAAGACCAACAGAGUCAAUUCAUGUAGACCCUGGGGGUGGGGGGUUGGUUCCCAAUGCCAAACAAACAAACGAACAAACAGAAACCAAAAACCAAAAAACCAAAAAACAAAC
rnacentral:lncRNA from 1 species